UCUCAUUUAGGUAUUUUCAUGAAUUGGGUUUGCACUAUUUUGUACAUUCAUCUUUAAUCUUUUUCACAGUCAACAGUACAUAGUGCACUACGUACAGUACAUAGUGCACUUUAAAUAUUCGACACUAACAUUCGAUCUAGAAUCGUACUAAUUGGAUGGGCGUAGUGAACAGUACUAUUAUUGUACAUAGUGCAUUGUGCAUUUUCCAUAUCCCAAAAGUGCAUAGUACAUAGUGCAAAGUUAAUAGUGCAUAGUACGUAGUGCAUAUCAACAUAGUUCAGCGCUCAUUAUACAUAUUACAUGGCGUAGUGCAAAUUGAAUAGUGCAUAUUGCAUGGAACAGGGAUGUGGGAACGGAGGGCGUCCAUCCAAAAAAUAAGAAAGAUUCAUUUCCAAUGACGAUCAAUAUUCCAAAACAACUAUUCAUAAUACCCUAGUACACAAACAAAUAUACCAAAUUCUAUAUAUCAAAUCAUCUCAAUCGUCAAACGUUGUCAUCAUACGAAUUUCAUCUUCUUAAAUAACGACCUACAUAAAAGAAAUAAUUUUCAACAGUAAGCAGUUGAAGGUUCUUAAUAUUUCGGAAAAAUAACUAUAGGAUUAAAUGAAAAGAUAUCCACAAAUAGUAAUGUGCAUAGGUAGGGAAAAUGAUAAACUUAAAAAAAAUUGACGAUAGUGCAUAGUUCAUAGUUCAUGUUCAUAGUACAUAGUACAUAGUGCAUAGUGCAUUAUGUAUAUUUCGAUAAUUCAAUAACUAGAAGUUUAGGUACAAAUGAUACCCAUUUCGAUAAUUGAAAAACCUGAUUUAAAGAGUGAAGAAUUGAUUGGGGGAGUCUGAAAAAUAGUAGAGUGAAACAUUGGGGAUGUCUGAAAAAACGAUUAACAGUAUUUAUCGACACUUGAUAGAAGCAAAAAAUAAUUAAACAUUUUGUAUCGAAAUAAAGUAAAAUAUCAAAAACAAAAUCAAUUACUGGACCACAAGAAUAUGAAUAGUAAAAUAUAAAUCAUCCAAUUAACAAAAAAAUAAAUCAUUCGUCACUACCUACAAUUUCAGAAAAAUAAAUUAUGGUGUGAAAAAACUAGGGAGGAGAAAGGAAGAACAGAGACACCAAUGACAAAAGUAUUUGCAUUUGACUUGCUAAUCAUUAUUUGCAUUUGGUGUGGAAUAUCGUCAUUAUCAUUUGCAUUCAGUUAAAAAAAACCAUUACUAAUAGUUCAAAAUAGUGGAAAUGACAUGAACAGAAGAAAAAAAAGCAAUUUAUAGUUAAAGAAAUCAUAAUAAAAUGGUAUUACAUCUAAGUAUGGGAUUGAAAUCAAAUUCACUAAUAUAGUAAUGAAUAAAACAACAACAGUAUGCAACAUUCAGUCUGCACUAUAAUGGAUUGAAAUGGGAGAGUUAAAGGCAAUAUAUUAUUUUUAUAUCCACAGACCACAGAAGAAUAAGAGAUGAGGAUUUAACUACUAUUCUAACAUCCAAAAUAUCUUCUAAGUUCCAACAAACUCAAAAACCGAUACUAUGAAACCCCAAAAAAAAACUUUCUAUGUUGCUUUUGGAAAACACCAUUAAAUAAGAAAACAUCCAAAGAUUCCUAUAAAAAAGUGGGGGGAAAAAUUGGGGAACAUAGCUAGAUCUAUCAGUAGAAAUCAAACCCAUUUCUAAUAGUGGAAAUGAGGGCAAAUAAAAGGAACAAUGAAAUAAAAAUAGUGAGGAAGAAUGAGUGUAGAAAUGAGUGUAGAAAUAGUGAGGAAGAACUAUGUUAAACACAACACACAUCACACCCAAAAAAUUCGGAAACUCGGACGAGGUGAUUAACUAUCAAAACACAUACCGAACAGUGGACGAGUGCGACCUGGCCGGGGCCUUCCCAUUCCGAUCUCCACUGGGGUUCGACAUGGUAGUGAUGAUGUGUGGUCACUGAUGUAAAGAAAACGCCGCUUGAGAAAAAAUCGCCGCUGGAAAAAAUUGGAAAAGGAGAGAAGAAUAUAAGAUAACUGAGAGGGUUACAACAAAGGAAUAAGACUACGGAAUUGGCACAGUCCUUCCUCCUUCCAUCCAUCGGUCUCUAGGAUGUUCAGUGUACAAUUUCUGACUAGUGUGUCAUUAACUCUCUUAAAGGCACGC
rnacentral:lncRNA from 1 species